rnacentral:lncRNA from 1 species
CGGAGAUGUUCACAUUCUACUGGGGAACUAGAUAAUAGUCAAAUAAACACCUACCUCAAAAAGACAACUUCCCGAUUCUCCUGAAGUGUGCUGAAGGAAAUAAAUACAGUGAUAUAAUAAAGCAGCAGCAGAAAAGACUUCUUUACACAGGGUUGUCAGAGAAGAUUGCUCUUGGGCAGUAAUAUGUGAUUUGUUAGCUACGAGAUGAAUGAUGUGAAGCCAUUUAUUACAUAAGGCCUGGUAACAUAAAACCUGACUGUUUUCUCCAGGUACCUGUCUUUUCUAGGUCAAUAAGGAAUGUAUCUCUGAGGAGGAGCAGUGACAUCUUUGAGAAAUCUGGUAAUGGCUAUCAUCCACCUCCAAUCUAUGUGUGAUCAUAGGAGAUGCCACCAUGGAAUUUGAAUAUAGAACUUCAGAGGAGCAGAGACCAGUUGAAGAAUGUCGUGUAAAGUGGAGGAACUGAGUAGGAACUGGCAAGACAUUCAUCAUGAGCAAGCGGGGCUCCAGGCCACUGGAUGUGCUCCUCCGGCAUUCUUACUGCAAACUGCCUCUCGCAUCCAAUGGAAGCUAGCUCCUAAUAAACUUGAAAUUGAUUAUUAAGCACUUCUCAUUUUCUUCUUAAACUGAAAGGAAUAAUUAAUACUAUCAGUGAUUGUUAGUACACUGCUCUGUACAGGGAUACCUUUACAAAUUACAAACAUCAGUAGACAGAUUUCAUGUUAG